ACGCGAAGUAGGGGCACCCUGCGAGUAGAGUGGCGAACGGGUGAGUAACACAUCGGAACGUACCCAGGAGUGGGGGACAACCUCGAGAAAUCGAGGCUAAUACCGCAUACGUCCUGAGGGAGAAAGCGGGGGAUCUGAAAGGACCUCGCGCUCGUUGAGCAGCCGAUGGUCGGAUUAGCUAGUUGGGCGGGGUAAAGAGCCCACCCAGGCCCCCAAUCCGUAACCUGGUUUUGAAGAGAACGACCAGCCACACUGGGACUGGGGACACGGCCCACACUCCUACGGGAGGCAGCAGUGGGGAAUUUUGGACAAUGGGGGAAACCCUGAUCCAGCCAUGCCGCGUGAGUGAAGAAGGCCUUCGGGGUGUAAAGCUCUUUCGGCCGGAACGAAAUCGGGUACGUGAAUAACGUAUCUGGAUGACGGUACUGGAAGAAGAAGCACCGGCUAACUACGUGCCAGCAGCCGCGGUAAUACGUAGGGUGCGAGCGUUAAUCGGAAUUACUGGGCGUAAAGCGUGCGUAGGCGGUUUCGCAAGUCAGAUGUGAAAUCCCCGGGCUUAACCUGGGAACUGCGUUUGAAACUACGGAGCUAGAGUGUGGCAGAGGGGGGUGGGAUUCCACGUGUAGCAGUGAAAUGCGUAGAUAUGUGGAGGAACACCGAUGGCGAAAGCAGCCCCCUGGGCCGACACUGACGCUCAGCACGAAAGCGUGGGGAGCAAACAGGAUUAGAUACCCUGGUAGUCCACGCCCUAAACUAUGCGAACUAGUUGUGGGGAAGCAUUCCUUGGUAACGAAGCUAACGCGUGA
rnacentral:rRNA from 1 species